rnacentral:tRNA from 1 species
GCUGGGGAUGUAGCUCAGUGGCAGAGUGCUUGCUCAGUAUGUGUGAGGCCCUGGGUUCAAUCCCCAGUAGCA